CCUACGGGAGGCAGCAGUGAGGAAUAUUGGUCAAUGGACGGAAGUCUGAACCAGCCAUGCCGCGUGCAGGAAGACGGCUCUAUGAGUUGUAAACUGCUUUUGUACAAGGGUAAACCUGAAUACGUGUAUUCAGCUGAAAGUACUGUACGAAUAAGGAUCGGCUAACUCCGUGCCAGCAGCCGCGGUAAUACGGAGGAUCCAAGCGUUAUCCGGAUUUAUUGGGUUUAAAGGGUGCGUAGGCGGUUUGAUAAGUUAGAGGUGAAAUGUCCGAGCUUAACUCGGGAACUGCCUCUAAUACUGUUGGUCUAGAGAGUAGAUGCGGUAGGCGGAAUGUAUGGUGUAGCGGUGAAAUGCUUAGAGAUCAUACAGAACACCGAUUGCGAAGGCAGCUUACCAAUCUAUAUCUGACGUUGAGGCACGAAAGCGUGGGGAGCAAACAGGAUUAGAUACCCGAGUAGUC
rnacentral:rRNA from 1 species